rnacentral:tRNA from 1 species
AAAGUACUAGUAAACUAUUACAAUAUCUUGUCAAGAUAUAAUCAUGGGUUGAACUCCCAUGUACUUUA